UACGUAGGGAGCGAGCGUUAUCCGGAAUUAUUGGGUGUAAAGGGUGCGUAGACGGGAAGACAAGUUGGUUGUGAAAUCCCUCGGCUUAACUGAGGAACUGCAACCAAAACUAUCAUUCUUGAGUACUGGAGAGGAAAGUGGAAUUCCUAGUGUAGCGGUGAAAUGCGUAGAUAUUAGGAGGAACACCAGUGGCGAAGGCGGCUUACUGGACGGUAACUGACGUUGAGGCUCGAAAGCGUGGGGAGCAAACAGG
rnacentral:rRNA from 1 species